rfam:Otolemur garnettii contig013233, whole genome shotgun sequence.
AAGACUAUACUUUCAGGGAUCAUUUCUAUAGUUUGUUACUAGAGAAGUCUCUCUGAACGUGUAGAGCACCGGAAACCACGAGGAGGAGGUGUAGUAUUUUCUCCUGAGCGUGAAGCUGGUAUUUGGUGUUGCAGUUGUUGUAACUACCACUUGCCGUUGAUGAUCGUUCUUCUUCUCUUUUCAGAAGAGUGAGAGGGAGGAAAUACUGUCUGAGUGGU